CUGGCCGAGGAGGGAAAUCGGGUGCGGGAUGUCGACGGACGACAUUCGGGGCGCCUCUUUUGGAAACUGCGAUUAUGAGAGGAAACUUCAAAUUAAUUGCCUGAAUCGGUUCCUGAGAUGGUGAGGAUUGAUGGGGUGGUUUCCUUUCGAAGAGAUACGCGCCGGAAGGAAAGAAAUCGAAUAAAGAAAAUAUGGAAGGAGGAGUUUCCUUUACGUGCAGAGGAGGAAGAACAGGAGCUGGUGCUCGUGCUCGCUGGCUGGGCUGAGGCGCUCGGUGGAGAUGGGCCGGCCCAGUUUGCGUCGGUCCAUUCUCUUUUUUUUUCUUUUUUUUUCUAUUUCUGUUUUUAUUAAUAACUCUUGAUUCCUAACUUCAAAUAAGUUCAAAUAAACUCCAGUAAAUUUGUAAAUUCAAAUCUUCCAAAGUGUGAACUUUUGGGACUUGAAUCCUUUCAAAAUAAAAUAAGUAAAAAAUACUUUUGCUUAUAUAAAUGUCAUUAGGGCUUUAUAAGUAAUACAUAAAAUAGGUUUUGAAAUCUAUUAUGAAACCUUUGUUUCAUAAAUUAGUUUAAACUCCAAUAAACAUAUUGGGUUGGCAU
rnacentral:lncRNA from 1 species